UACGAAGGGGGCUAGCGUUGCUCGGAAUGACUGGGCGUAAAGGGCGCGUAGGCGGAUGGCACAGUCAGAUGUGAAAUUCCUGGGCUUAACCUAGGGACUGCAUUUGAUACGUGUGAUCUAGAGUGAGGAAGAGGGUCGUGGAAUUCCCAGUGUAGAGGUGAAAUUCGUAGAUAUUGGGAAGAACACCGGUGGCGAAGGCGGCGACCUGGUCCUUUUACUGACGCUGAGGUGCGAAAGCGUGGGGAGCAAACAGG
rnacentral:rRNA from 1 species